ensembl:lncRNA
GUGAGUGGGCCCGCUAGCAUGAAGCGCUGCCAACGCAGCAUCCGUUCCUCUUUUACAUGCCUUCGCAGCGACCUCUUUGAUAAAAUUAUUUUACUCUCUGCCAUUUUUUGUAAUUUUGCUGUCGUAAGAGUUCCCAUCUCUCAGACUUACCUGAUCCUCCAUCCAAACUCUGAUGUUGGAAUCCAUGCUGUCCAGUCCAUGUGAAGAGCACAGGAAGGCUUGUUGCAGCACACUUAAUAGUAAGCUGUGUGUGUGUGUGUGUGUGUGUGUGUGUG